GGAACAGAGACAGAGAGAGAGAGAGAGAGAGAGUCGCUAACCUCAGAACCCCCGCAACACCCAAGCAUGAGGACUGGUUCACAUCCCACUUAGCUGUUACCCACAACUAGUGAUGGCUGAAGAGCCGUGGAUGGGGAGAACACCAGCUCACGUUUGGCCAGUACCAGCGUCCCGGGCACUAUUCUAAGCACUUCCACGUGUUAACCCACUCAUUUCUCAUGACAACCCUAAGAGCUGAGGACAAUUAUUAGGUGAGAAAAGUGAGGCCCCAAAAGCAAGAAGGGGAGAGGGAAGACCUUGUAAAUGAAGCAGGUGACAGUUCUGCAGCUACACGUCUCAGUUUCAAUUCUCCUCGAGUCCCUGAUGCAGAACGAGCACCUCCGGAGGGGAACAAACCGUAGCUGGCCCAUGCCCUCCGGGCCUUGCAAGGAGCUGACCACCAUCCACAGAAAUAAGAGGACCCGACCUGAGAUGGAAAGUGAGAGCGGCUGAUUCCCCCCUACUGGAGAACACAGCGGCACCAGGCCGGCCUGGCCUUUCGCCUGACGGUCCGCGUUUAAGACACCAUCCCUUUAUCUGGCUUUCAUUAGAGCCUCGGCCGCGCCUCUUUUGUGGGAGAGACUUAUGGGAACCCAGGCAGUUUCCCAGCCGCUGUGAUGUUGCUAAAGAUUAAAAAGGAGCUUUGAAGCUGUACCAGUUCUCUCUGCGCCCCCUCGGUACAGGGCCUCAGAAAGACCCAAGCCAUCUGGCAAACCUGACAUAAA